rnacentral:rRNA from 1 species
GACGAACGCUGGCGGCGUGCCUAAUACAUGCAAGUAGAACGCUGAAGGAGGAGCUUGCUCUUCUGGAUGAGUUGCGAACGGGUGAGUAACGCGUAGGUAACCUGCCUGGUAGCGGGGGAUAACUAUUGGAAACGAUAGCUAGUACCGCAUAAGAGUAGAUGUUGCAUGACAUUUACUUAAAAGGUGCAAUUGCAUCACUACCAGAUGGACCUGCGUUGUAUUAGCUAGUUGGUGGGGUAACGGCUUACCAAGGCGACGAUACAUAGCCGACCUGAGAGGGGGGUCGGCCAAACUGGGACUGAGACACGGCCCAGACUCCUACGGGAGGGAGCAGUAGGGAAUCUUCGGCAAUGGACGGAAGGCUUACCGAGCAACGCCGCGUGAGUGAAGAAGGGUUUCGGAUCGUAAAGCUCUGUUGUAAGAGAAGAACGAGUGUGAGAGUGGAAAGUUCACACUGUGACGGUAUCUUACCAGAAAGGGACGGCUAACUACGUG